rnacentral:rRNA from 1 species
GACGAACGCUGGCGGCGUGCCUAAUACAUGCAAGUCGAGCGAACUUUUGGGAGCUUGCUCCCAAAAGUUAGCGGCGGACGGGUGAGUAACACGUGGGCAACCUGCCUAUAAGACUGGGAUAACUUCGGGAAACCGGAGCUAAUACCGGAUAAUUCUUUUCCUCUCAUGAGGAAAAGCUGAAAGACGGUUUCGGCUGUCACUUAUAGAUGGGCCCGCGGCGCAUUAGCUAGUUGGUGAGGUAACGGCUCACCAAGGCAACGAUGCGUAGCCGACCUGAGAGGGUGAUCGGCCACACUGGGACUGAGACACGGCCCAGACUCCUACGGGAGGCAG